UAGGGAAUCUUCGGCAAUGGACGAAAGUCUGACCGAGCAACGCCGCGUGAGUGAAGAAGGUUUUCGGAUCGUAAAGCUCUGUUGUAGGGGAAGAACGACCAAUAAGCGAAUAGGUUAUUGGAGUGACGGUACCCUACCAGAAAGCCACGGCUAACUACGUGCCAGCAGCCGCGGUAAUACGUAGGUGGCAAGCGUUGUCCGGAAUUAUUGGGCGUAAAGCGCGCGCAGGCGGUCUCUUAAGUCUGAUGUGAAAGCCCCCGGCUCAACCGGGGAGGGUCAUUGGAAACUGGGAGACUUGAGUACUGGAGAGAAGAGUGGAAUUCCACGUGUAGCGGUGAAAUGCGUAGAGAUGUGGAGGAACACCAGUGGCGAAGGCGACUCUUUGGCCAGAAACUGACGCUGAGGCGCGAAAGCGUGGGGAGCAAACA
rnacentral:rRNA from 1 species